GUUGAGGUCACAAAGGUGGUUAAAAAGCUCCUCAGUGACAAGGCCCCGGGGGUGGAUGAGAUUCUCCUGGAGUUCCGAAAGGCUCUGAGUGUUGUGGGGCUGUUCGUCCAACAAGUCUACAUGUGUUUUGUGGACUUGGAGAAGGCGUUCGACAGUGUCCCUCGGGGAGUCCUGUGAGGGGUGCUUCGGGAGUAUGGGGUACCGAACUCCUGAUACGGGCUAUUCAGCCCGUGUACGACCAGUGACAGAGUUUGGUCCGCAUUGGUGGCAGGAAGUUGGACUUGUUUCCGGUGAGGGUUGGACUCCGCCAAGGCUGCCCUUUGUCACCGAUUCUGUUCAUAACUUUUAUGGACAGAAUUUCUAGGCGCAGCCGAGGCAUAGAGGGGUUCCGGUUUGGUGGCCUCAGAAUUGCAUCUCUGCUAUUUGCAGAUGAUGUGGUUCUGUUGGCUUCAUCAAGCCGUGAUCUCCAACUCUCACUGGAGCGGUUCGCAGCUGACUGUGAAGUGGCUGGGAUGAAAAUUAGCACAUCCAAAUCUGAGACCAUGGUCCUCAGUCGGAAAAGGGUGGCGUGCCUCUCCAGGUCGGGGAUGAGAUCCUGCCCCAAGUGGAGGAGUUCAAGUAUCUUGGGGUCUUGUACACGAGUGAGGGAAGAAUGGAACGGGAGAUCAACAGGCGGAUCGGUGCAGCGUCUGCAGUGUUGCGGACUUUGUAUCGGUCCGUUGUGGUGAAGAAGGAGCUAAGCCGAAAGGUGAAGCUCUGAAUUUACUGUUCAAUCUACGUUCCUACCCUCACCUAUGGUCACAAGCUGUGGGUCAUGACCGAAAGAACAAGAGCCCAGAUACAAGCAGCCGAAGUGAGUUUCCUCCGCAGGGUGUCCGGGGUCUGCCUUAGAGAUGAGGGUGAGAAGCUCGGUCAUCCGCGAGGGGCGCAGAUUAGAGCCGCUGCUCCUCCACAUUGAGAGGAGCCAGAUGAGAUGGCUCGGGCAUCUGGUUAGGAUGCCUCCCGGACGUCUUCCUGGUGAGGUGUUCCAUGCACGUCCCACUGGGAGGAGACACCAGGGACGCCCCAGGACACGAUGGAAGGACUAUGUCUCGCGGCUGGCCUGGGAACGCCUCGGGAUCCCCCCGGAAGAGCUGAAUGAAGUGGCUGGGGAAAGCGAAGUCUGGGCUUCGCUGCUAAAGGUACUUCCCCGCAACCCGACCUCAGAUUAGCAGAAGAAAAUGGAUGGAUGGAUGGAUGGAUGGAGUCAAGUCACGGAACUAAUUAAACUCCUAAGUCACGACACUACGUUAUAGUGUUCCCGUGCUAUUUUUUAUAUAUUAUUAAUUGGCACUCCCCCAUAAAGGGUAAUACUUGCCUAUACGUGCCACAAGAUGGUGGCAAAGCUCCUCAACAUAAAUCCUUGGAACCAAGAUGGUGUGAAAGCAAUACUUUAAUUGCAGUGGUAUACUUUAGUUUAUAUUACAUGGGCCAGCACAGCAGUACUGGUUCUCAAGGCCUUGGGCAGAUUAGAUUCACAUGGCAACCCAUUGAGGCUGAAAUAUAACUGGACAGAAAAAAAAAUCUAACAUCCACGUACAAGUACUGGAAGCAGUUAAACCAAGAGAAAUGCUACAAAAUGAAGGGAAUACACUUUGGAAUAGAAUUUAAAAAAAUAGAAUUUAGGUUGUAAAUGUAGGCCAUAACCAUUGCUGUAAAUACAAUUUGGAGUAAUCACUUUUGUGUACUUUUUUCUUUGUUUGGUGUGACUUUUAAGAAAGAGCAGGAUGGAAGGAUGGAGCGGGGGUGUUGUUGGUUGAAAUGGGUAAUAAGAAAAAGUGCCAGCAGCACAAAAUGUCUGUGGUAAUCCGGUUAUCCCCAGGCUCUAAAGAUACUGUCCCUCUCCUUGGGAAGUCUAUCUUUUCUUCUUAUGUCAAAACUGUCUUCCAUGCACUCAGGUGGAAUAGCGAUUUAUGGUGGAGAAAGAAAUGGACAGGUACACAAAGAGGCAAAAAAUGACAGAUGACACAGAGAAGCAGAGUCUGAAUGAGAAGGGUGUCAGCGUUUGACCUGAAAAGAUCAACUAGAAAGAUGAAGAACUGCUGAAUUACUUUUAUUGUAUUGGACUUAUUGACCAUGUUUUUUAUUAUUGUUGACAAUGGACAUUUGUGCUAUGAUCAAAUGAGUGCUAAUUCAGAUUCACUCGCAAGUUCUCUUGAAAAAAAUUAAUCCCAAAUUAUCAUUUUUGAAUGAAAACGAAUCAAACUACAUAUUUUAUUCUGACAAGAGCUGCAAUGCUGAAAAUUUCCUUUGUUUCCAUCCGCCGCCAUUAUUAGCCAAUCACAUGGAUCACAGAGCCGUUCUCCCCUCCGAGACGAUAAUCCCCGCAGAGCCAUCUGAUGACCGUGGGCCUGUGAGGAGCUGCACCGAUGUUCAUGACAGAUUGCGACUGCGGCAGAUAAAUCGGAUAAAGCAAUCUAUUGUCGAUGAUACUGACCGGGAUCCAACUGAUAAAACUGAAUGAAAGAUGAUGACAUUAUCUCAGUUGUAGAUACAACUGUCAUUAUAUCUCAUCUAAAUGAAAAUUUAAAUCAUUAUAUUUGGUAAAAUGUAAUUGUCACGAUAUAAAAAAACAAAAAACAA